rnacentral:tRNA from 1 species
GCGUCGGUAGUCUAGUGGCUAUGACAUACCCCUGCCACGGGUAUAGCCCGGGUUCAACUCCCGGCCGACGCA